rnacentral:rRNA from 1 species
GAUGAACGCUAGCGGCAGGCAUAAUACAUGCAAGUCGAACGGGUGUAGCAAUACAUUAGUGGCGCACGGGUGCGUAACGCGUAACCAACCUACCCUUGACUGGGGGAUAGCCCGCCGAAAGGCGGAUUAAUACCGCAUAUACCGGCAGCCUGGCAUCAGGGAACUGGGAAAGAUUUAUUGGUCAAGGAUGGGGUUGCGUAGCAUUAGCUAGAUGGCGGGGUAACGGCUCACCAUGGCGACGAUGCUUAGGGGACCUGAGAGGGUGAUCCCCCACACUGGCACUGAGAUACGGGCCAGACUCCUACGGGAGGCAGCAGUAGGGAAUAUUGGGCAAUGGCCGAGAGGCUGACCCAGCCAUGCCGCGUGCCGGAUGAAGGCCUUCUGGGUUGUAAACGGCUUUUCUCAGGGAAGAAAAAGAGGAUGCGUCCUAAACUGACGGUACCUGAGGAAUAAGCACCGGCUAACUCCGUG